CUGCUUCCUGUUUAUGGUUGAAGAUGGGAUCUAUCAACUUUCUUCCCCAGCUGUCUGCUGUCAUGACUCCUUCACCAUACGGACUCUCUCCCUCUGGAACCUGAAGCUGAAAUAAUCCUUUCUUUCAUGAGCGGCUUUUGGUUGUGGUGUUUUACCACAGCAGCAGAAAAUUUCGUCUGGCUCUCUCUUCCCUCCUGCGUGAUGAACAGAGACAAAAGGACUCCACCGGGGACCAAGAAGUCAAGAAGAGGAAGGGGUCUUGAUUCUGACAACUGAAGGCAUUCUGUCCCCGCCCGUCCAUCCGCCCGUUCGUUGGCUGAGCUGAUGAAGGUGUCACAUGGGGUACACCCCGACUGUGAUGGCCAUUAUUAGCCUAAGUAUUCCAGCAUCUCUUGCAGGCUUGUUCGGGUCUCUACACUAAAUGCUUCUGCUGCCUGGGGACUGGAUGGACUCUGGGUGCUCUCUAGAAAGCAUAUCUGCCUUUGUGGAUAUCUUUCUGGGCCUCUCCGGCUUCGCCCCAGUGACCUGCUCUGGUAUUGCUUAGCUGUGCUGAGUUGGGGUCAUGGACUCAGAUUAACGUAUCCUUCCUCCGUGAUUUGAGAUCCCUUUCUAUCUAGUUUUAAUGGAAAGCAGCUUUUAAUACUUGACCUGAUGAAUUUUGUGAAAUAUUAGCAAAUAUCCCACUCAAA